GACGAACGCUGGCGGCGUGCUUAACACAUGCAAGUCGAACGGAAAGGCCCUGCUUUUGUGGGGUGCUCGAGUGGCGAACGGGUAGUAACACGUGAGUAACCUGCCCUUGACUUUGGGAUAACUUCAGGAAACUGGGGCUAAUACCGGAUAGGAGCUCCUGCUGCAUGGUGGGGGUUGGAAAGUUUCGGCGGUUGGGGAUGGACUCGCGGCUUAUCAGCUUGUUGGUGGGGUAGUGGCUUACCAAGGCUUUGACGGGUAGCCGGCCUGAGAGGGUGACCGGCCACAUUGGGACUGAGAUACGGCCCAGACUCCUACGGGAGGCAGCAGUGGGGAAUAUUGCACAAUGGGCGGAAGCCUGAUGCAGCAACGCCGCGUGCGGGAUGACGGCCUUCGGGUUGUAAACCGCUUUCGCCUGUGACGAAGCGUGAGUGACGGUAAUGGGUAAAGAAGCACCGGCUAACUACGUG
rnacentral:rRNA from 1 species